rnacentral:rRNA from 1 species
UGGGGAAUAUUGCACAAUGGGCGAAAGCCUGAUGCAGCAACGCCGCGUGCGGGAAGAAGGCCUUAGGGUCGUAAACCGCUUUCAGGGGGGACGAAGCUUCCGGGGUUAAUAGACUACGGGGUGACGGUACUCCCACAAGCAGGUCCGGCUAAAUACGUGCCAGCAGCCGCGGUAAUACGGAGGAUGCAAGCGUUAUUCGGAUUCGUUGGGUUUAAAGGGUGCGUAGGCGGGACGGCUAGUCUGGGGUGA